AUACGGAGGGUGCAAGCGUUACUCGGAAUCACUGGGCGUAAAGCGCGCGCAGGCGGCUAUUUAAGUUGGAUGUGAAAGCCUAUGGCUCAACCAUAGAUCUGCAUCCAAAACUAUUUAGCUAGAGUGUGGGAGAGGAAGAUGGAAUUAGUUGUGUAGGGGUAAAAUCCGUAGAGAUAACUAGGAAUACCAAAAGCGAAGGCAAUCUUCUGGAACACUACUGACGCUGAGGCGCGAAAGCGUGGGGAGCAAACAGGAUUAGAAACCCUAGUAGUCC
rnacentral:rRNA from 1 species